AAUCAACGCUGGCGGCGUGCCUAACACAUGCAAGUCGAGCGAGAAAAGGGGGGCAACUCCCUGAGUAAAGCGGCGCACGGGUGAGUAACACGUGGGUAAUCUGCCCUGGAGUGGGGAAUAACACCGGGAAACCGGUGCUAAUACCGCAUACGAUAGCGAGGUCUUCGGACUUUGUUAUGAAAGGAGCAAUUCGCUCCAGGAGGAGCCCGCGGCUGAUUAGCUAGUUGGUGAGGUAACGGCUCACCAAGGCUACGAUCAGUAUCCGGUCUGAGAGGACGGUCGGACACACUGGAACUGAGACACGGUCCAGACUCCUACGGGAGGCAGCAGUGGGGAAUUUUUGGCAAUGGGGGCAACCCUGACCAAGCAACGCCGCGUGGGUGAUGAAGUCUCUUGGGACGUAAAACCCUUUCGACAGGGACGAAAGCCGCAAGGUUUGACGGUACCUGUAGAAGAAGCCCCGGCUAACUCCGUGCCAGCCGCCGCAGUAAAAC
rnacentral:rRNA from 1 species